rnacentral:rRNA from 1 species
GAUGAACGCUGGCGGCGUGCCUAAUACAUGCAAGUAGAACGCUGAAGCUUGGUGCUUGCACCGAGCGGAUGAGUUGCGAACGGGUGAGUAACGCGUAGGUAACCUGCCUCUUAGCGGGGGAUAACUAUUGGAAACGAUAGCUAAUACCGCAUAAAAGUCGAUAUCGCAUGAUAUUGAUUUGAAAGGUGCAAAUGCAUCACUAAGAGAUGGACCUGCGUUGUAUUAGCUAGUUGGUGAGGUAACGGCUCACCAAGGCGACGAUACAUAGCCGACCUGAGAGGGUGAUCGGCCACACUGGGACUGAGACACGGCCCAGACUCCUACGGGAGGCAGCAGUAGGGAAUCUUCGGCAAUGGGGGCAACCCUGACCGAGCAACGCCGCGUGAGUGAAGAAGGUUUUCGGAUCGUGAAGCUCUGUUGUAAGAGAAGAACGAGUGUGAGAGUGGAAAGUUCACACUGUGACGGUAACUUACCAGAAAGGGACGGCUAACUACGUG